rnacentral:rRNA from 1 species
UACGGGGGGGGUAAGCGUUAAUCGGAAUUACUGGGCGUAAAGCGUGCGCAGGCGGUUGUGCAAGACAGAUGUGAAAUCCCCCGGCUUAACCUGGGAACUGCGUCUGAUACUGGAAGGCUUGAGGAUGGGAGAGGGAUGUAGAAUUCCAGGUGUAGCGGUGAAAUGCGUAGAUAUCUGGAGGAAUACCGGUGGCGAAGGCGGCAUCCUGGACCAUUACUGACGCUGAGGCGCGAAAGCUAGGGGAGCAAACGGG